UCUAUUAAACUUGUAAAAGAAAAGCUGUACGGAAGCAGGUUGUUUUACAUUUGAACAAUAUCAAAGGUGACCAUAUCACACCGUAUUUACACCAACUGUUUAUGUGAUGUGCUGCAGAGGCCUUUUGUUGUUUUUAAUAACCAUGAAUCUGCUCAUGUUUUUGUCCAUAUAGGAAAACGGAGGGCAGAGCAGCUGAAAGGAGACUGGAGAACAUAUCAGCCUGUCCGUCUGCUACCUGAUCCGUCCGUCCUCUCUGGGUGGGGUCAGUUCAGACUUGGUGUCGGGGCUGGCGGCGCUCCAGACGGUGAGACGACAACGCUGCAUGACGGGACAGGCGCUGGGUCCCAUCGAGCAGACGUCUGCGGCCGACCAGUGGCCCUCCAGCAGCCAGUCCAGCCAGCGGCGCAGCGGCACCCCCGUCAGGGCAGCGUUGGACUCUGCCUCCUCCACGGCGCCCAGACUUACAGGCAGUCGAAGCACCGGGUUCAGGCCGUGGAAACUCUGCUCCAUGUAGGAAUUUCUGGCUGGGCCACCGUGCAACCGCAGGGCAUCCUCUGCAUCCCAGGAAAAGUGUGACGAGUUGGGACCGCUCACCUUGCUGUAAGGGCUGCUGUCGGUGGAACUCCAGCGGAGCCACGAUGAAGCUGGUCUGGCCCAGCGGGUUCCAGUGAUGCAGCACCCUCAGUGUCCACAAGCCAGGCCUCAAAGGCAAGGUGAGUGGUGGCCGAUAGUGGGUGACCUCAGCGGAGGCGUCCACCAGGAUGUCAUAAGUGGCAGCGAUGACGUUGGUGGGGUCGAUCCACACCACAGUGGCUGUCAGGUUGCUCUGGCUUCGGCUCCAGUGCUGCACUGCCACCGGCUCGUCCUUGGGCCCCAGCAGACCCCCCCAGUUCCUGAAGAGACGCUCCUUAGGAUCCCAGUCCGCCCCAACCUGAACAACAGGAAGAGUUUCAGGAUCGCCCGGUUUGGACUGACUCAGAUUCUGACUGCAGGGGUGCACAGUUUAGGUCGUAUCUGGCAAAAACUGCUUAAAGUUAUUAAUAAAUGGCUUCCAGUUCAUUUUAAGGUUUCAAUCAAUUUAAAGUUUUACUUAUUUUUAAAGCAGCUGGGUUGCAGUAUACAUCUGGGAGCUUUUGUGCCCAUACUGCUCUCAGAUCCUGCAACAAAACUUUGCCAACAGUCCCGGUCCAGACAAACUUAAGGCCCCUAAAGUCUGGAACAGCCUUACAAUCAAAAUUCCUUAUUUUUUAUUUGAGGCUUAGUUUUUCCCUAAUCAUUUAUUUUGUUGUCAUGUGUUCUUUUUAUAAAAUUUUAUUUUCGUGAAGCACUUUGUAAAAAGGUCCUUAUCACAACUGUGAGACUACGUUUUUUAUCUUAAUUUUAUGAAUGCUAAUGUUUCAUACCAAAAUCCACUGACCUUAGUAUAUAGAAGCUAAAUUGUGUUGUAUAAUGCUUUUGGCAAAACUGUUUCUGAUAAUGUUUUUCAAGCCCAAAAUACUGUCUCAAACCAUAAGUAGCAUGCAAUCGUUAAACUUCUCCAAAAAUCUCAAAUGGGGA